UUUGGAGGGCAAGUCUGGUGCCAGCAGCCGCGGUAAUUCCAGCUCCAAUAGCGUAUAUUAAAGUUGUUGCAGUUAAAAAGCUCGUAGUUGAAUUUCGGGACCAAUUUGUUGGUCGUGCCUCGGUACGUACUGGUAUUAUUGGUUUCUCCCUUCUGAAGAACCUUGAUGUCAUUAAUUUGGUGUCUUGGGGAAUCAGGACUGUUACUUUGAAAAAAUUAGAGUGUUUAAAGCAGGCAUACGCUUGAAUACAUUAGCAUGGAAUAAUGAAAUAGGACGUUUGAUUCUAUUUUGUUGGUUUCUAGGAUCGACGUAAUGAUUAAUAGGGAUAGUUGGGGGCAUUAGUAUUCAAUUGUCAGAGGUGAAAUUCUUGGAUUUAUUGAAGACUAACUACUGCGAAAGCAUUUGCCAAGGAUGUUUUCAUUAAUCAAGAACGAAAGUUAGGGGAUCGAAGACGAUCAGAUACCGUCGUAGUCUUAACCAUAAACUAUGCCGACUAGGGAUCGGAUGAUGUUAAUUUUUUAAUGACUCAUUCGGCGCCUUACGGGAAAC
rnacentral:rRNA from 1 species